CGUUGCAUAUGUAUCAUUGAAAUAUAACUCGAAUGCAAAGGUUCCCUGAAGAGAAAACAUUAUUUUUCGGGGGGCUGCUCCCAUCUGAUCAUUGCCAAAGCUAUGGACUCUGCCAGACGUUUCACCUCUGGGUGCGAUCUUCUAUCACCAACGCUCGACACACUGAAUGCUUCCAGCAACCUUUCAGCACUGACAAGGCUUUCUGCAAAUCAAGAUGUUGUGAAAGAUGGUUAUUCCUGGCGUCAUCCUUCAAGUUUGUGUCCCUGGGCAUGUCGGUAGAGUGUGGCACUGUUGGUGAUCCCUGGGAUACCUGGUUGACUGGUGUGGGGUCCGGACGUCUUUGGAAUGACUCGAAUUUGUCCAUGAAUCCUAUAUCAAUCCUCCUGAAUAAAGAUUCAUCAUUAGAACUGAUAUAUUGUAUACAUGUCGUUUCCGGGCAUAGUAACACCGUUUAUGGUUGUCAUGUUUGGUUUUAGUAUUUUACAAAGUGUAUCACAUAUACAAGAAGACCUGUAUCAUCCCUACUACCACGCCAUGAUAUGAUUGACAAAGCGACGUUAAAGUUACCUCACUCAUUCAAACAUGGAAGUAUUGUAUGUGUUCACACUUGCCCUGUUUCAGCUGGACUGUUAGAUGUCGCCAUGACUUGCAUGUUGUCCGCUUGCUGUGAUUUCGGAUCCAGUUCAUUGGGUUUAGUUUCCCCAGUUGAAUAGGUGCUGAUAUAGAAUCAAUACAAAUCUGAAGCAUCUUAACCAGACACGUUUUGCUAUUAUAUUUGGAACGUUUAAUACAUCUAAUGCACACCAUCUGACACAUGGUGGUCAUUUUACGAACAUUUUAUGAAAAGGGUAAAUAUUGUUUAUGGGUGUCUGAUAUCAGAAAUAUUCUUUGUAUGUCUGGUUUUUCUCUUGCAUGGAUAUCUCAAGAUGUUGGAAAUGAUAAACUAUUUAUCUUCAUGCUUAAGGAAAGAUUAGUUGAUAUAUUUUCACAAGAUUGGCACUGUCAAAUAUCAUCCUCAAGGUUUUUAUGCCAUUAUACGAAUAUAAAAUCUUUACUUGU